UACGUAGGGUGCGAGCGUUGUCCGGAUUUAUUGGGCGUAAAGAGCUCGUAGGCGGUUUGUCGCGUCUGCCGUGAAAGUCCGGGGCUCAACUCCGGAUCUGCGGUGGGUACGGGCAGACUAGAGUGAUGUAGGGGAGACUGGAAUUCCUGGUGUAGCGGUGAAAUGCGCAGAUAUCAGGAGGAACACCGAUGGCGAAGGCAGGUCUCUGGGCAUUAACUGACGCUGAGGAGCGAAAGCGUGGGGAGCAAACAGG
rnacentral:rRNA from 1 species